GAUGAAGAACGUAGCGAAAUGCGAUAAGUAGUGUGAAUUGCAGAAUUCAGUGAAUCAUCGAAUCUUUGAACGCACAUUGCGCCCCUUGGUAUUCCAUGGGGCAUGCCUGUUCGAGCGUCAUUUGUACCUUCAAGCUCUGCUUGGUGUUGGGUGUUUGUCCUUGCUCUAGUGGCGGGACUCGCCUUAAAGUAAUUGGCAGCCAGUGUUUUGGUUUUGAAGCGCAGCACAAGUCGCGAUUCAAGUCUAUACGCUAGUUUCCACAAGUCUUUUAUCACUUUUGACCUCGGAUCAGGUAGGGAUACCCGCUGAACUUAAGCAUAUCAAUAAGCGAGGA
rnacentral:misc_RNA from 1 species